UGGGGGACUGUCGAAAGGUAGAUUCUGUGCAUGUCAACCACAUUCCACCCUGGAAGUAGCAGCUGCAUUUUACCCUAAAAUUUCCUUAAUAUUAUAA